UACGUAGGGGCGAGCGUUGUCCGGAAUUACUGGGCGUAAAGGGUGCGUAGGCGGAGAUGCAAGUCAGGUGUGAAAGCCCGGGGCUCAACCCCGGGAUUGCACUUGAAACUGUGUCCCUUGAGUGCAGUAGAGGCAAGUGGAAUUCCUAGUGUAGCGGUGAAAUGCGUAGAUAUUAGGAGGAACACCAGUGGCGAAGGCGACUUGCUGGACUGUAACUGACGCUGAGGCACGAAAGCGUGGGGAGCAAACAGGAUUAGAUACCCCCGUAGU
rnacentral:rRNA from 1 species